rnacentral:rRNA from 1 species
GAUGAACGCUGGCGGCGUGCCUAAUACAUGCAAGUCGAGCGAACAGACGAGGAGCUUGCUCCUCUGACGUUAGCGGCGGACGGGUGAGUAACACGUGGAUAACCUACCUAUAAGACUGGGAUAACUUCGGGAAACCGGAGCUAAUACCGGAUAAUAUAUUGAACCGCAUGGUUCAAUAGUGAAAGACGGUUUUGCUGUCACUUAUAGAUGGAUCCGCGCCGCAUUAGCUAGUUGGUAAGGUAACGGCUUACCAAGGCAACGAUGCGUAGCCGACCUGAGAGGGCGAUCGGCCACUCGGGAGCUGGGACACGGUCCAGACCCCGACGGGAGACAGCAGUAGGGAAUCUACGGCAAGGGGCGAAAGCCUGACGGAGAAACGCCGCGUGAGUGAUGAAGGUCUUCGGGUCGUAAAACUCUGUUAUUAGGGAAGAACAAAUGUGUAAGUAACUAUGCGCGUCUGGACGGUACCUAGGCAGAAAGCCACGGCUAACUACGU